GUGUCAGCAGCCGCGGUAAUACGGAGGAGGCAAGCGUUAUCCGGAAUUAUUGGGCGUAAAGCGUCCGUAGGUGGUUUGUCAAGUCAGUUGUUAAAGCGUGGAGCUUAACUCCAUAAGGGCAAUUGAAACUGACAGGCUAGAGUGCGAUAGGGGCAAGGGGAAUUCCCAGUGUAGCGGUGAAAUGCGUAGAUAUUGGGAAGAACAUCGGUGGCGAAAGCGCCUUGCUGGGUCUGCACUGACACUGAGGGACGAAAGCUAGGGGAGCGAAAGGGAUUAGAUACCCCCGUAGUCC
rnacentral:rRNA from 1 species